rnacentral:rRNA from 1 species
GAUGAACGCCGGCGGUGUGCCUAAUACAUGCAAGUCGUACGCACUGGCCCAACUGAUUGAUGGUGCUUGCACCUGAUUGACGAUGGAUCACCAGUGAGUGGCGGACGGGUGAGUAACACGUAGGUAACUUGCCCCGGAGCGGGGGAUAACAUUUGGAAACAGAUGCUAAUACCGCAUAACAACAAAAGCCACAUGGCUUUUGUUUGAAAGAUGGCUUUGGCUAUCACUCUGGGAUGGACCUGCGGUGCAUUAGCUAGUUGGUAAGGUAAUGGCUUACCAAGGCGAUGAUGCAUAGCCGAGUUGAGAGACUGAUCGGCCACAAUGGAACUGAGACACGGUCCAU